GUGCAGCCCGGUUAGCUCAGUCGGUAGAGCAUGAGUCUCUUAAUCUCAGGGUCGUGGGUUCGAGCCCCACGCUGUACG